rnacentral:rRNA from 1 species
CCUACGGGUGGCAGCAGUGGGGAAUAUUGCACAAUGGGCGAAAGCCUGAUGCAGCAACGCCGCGUGAGCGAUGAAGGCCUUCGGGUCGGAAAGCUCUGUCCUCAAGGAAGAUAAUGACGGUACGUGAGGAGGCAGCCCCGGCUAACUACGUGCCAGCAGCCGCGGUAAUACGUCGGGGGCUAGCGUUAUCCGGAAUUACUGGGCGUAAAGGGUGCGUAGGUGGUUUCUUAAGUCAGGGGGGAAAGGCUACGGCUCAACCGUAGUAAGCCUUUGAAACUGGGGAACUUGAGUGCAGGAGAGGAGAGUGGAAUGCGUGGUGUAGCGGUGAAAUGCGUAGAUAUCAGGAAGAACACCAGUUGCGAAGGCGGCUCUCUGGACUGUAACUGACACUGAGGCACGAAAGCGUGGGGAUCAAACAGGAUUAGAUACCCGAGUAGUC